rnacentral:lncRNA from 1 species
AAGCUUGUCGGGAACUUAAUCCUUCUGCAGAAGUUUUAGAAUGGUUAGAAAAUGGGGUUACUAUUAAAAUUAUUUCAGGCAUUUCAAAGGCAAUUUUAAAGGGAAAAUGUAUGACUCGGCUACGCCACCUUGUAUGUAUUUUGACAAUGCACUUAACUGUAAGAACCAUGUUGAAUUUAUUAAGUCGACUCUUUUAGAUCGUGUCAGAAAUGGAUCUAUAUGUAUGGGGUAGAGUUGGUUGUUGUGACCCCCCUCAUUUGGUAAUGCC